UGUCAGAUUUUAUGAAAGUUUCAUUUCAUUUCGUUUCUCUUCGAAAUGAAAUAAAAUAUUUAAAAAAAAGAAAAAUAUUUCCAAAACAAUUUUUCAUCACAUUUCAACAUUGCUACCUUUCGGAAUUCCAUCAACGCUCUUACAAUGUAUUAAAUGAUAUCCAUCUUCUUCCUGCGGCCAUGGCGAAACUUUUCCAACUCAAUUUGUUGCAACCACAAUACUUUGGCAUAGGGUAUUAAAAGUGUGCUACUGGCAGUUGUGGCAAUACAGCGGUCAAGAACCAAACCGAGCGAACCGACCAACCGACCGACCGACCAAACAGCCAACCAGUGCCAGUCUUCAUUUCAGUCCGGCACAACAAAGGAGAGGCACGAAAGAAGCUGAUAGAGCCGUGGCACUGGGGUAUUUGUAACAUCAAUUCCGAAGAAAUAUUGGCAAAUAAAGAACAAAAGAAAUGGAGCGAAUGCAAGCAAGGCUUACUGCAUUGAAUAUCACCGUUGUUGCCCUGAUAAAUACGCAAGCAAAUUGAAGCUGAAAGCCCGAAUGCUGUUUAAAUAAAGGAAAUGCAAUUACAAGCGACUCAGUAUUUUAACAAAGGCAGAGAGGCGCGGGUUGGCGUUGGAAUAAACAAAUAUUUAAUUGUCAUUGUCUGAUUGUUUGUGUCGCUAGUUUGGGUUUUGAAAUUUGUCAUAGCCAGAGUUACCUAGAGUUACAAUGCAAGGGAUAUUCUUUGUCCAGCUUCGAGCAAACCAAAUAUUAUCAAAUUAUACCACGUUAAUUGUUUGAUUUUAUAUUUUGAAAUAGAUUUACCAUCCAUCCA